CAGUCGCCGCGGGAAUACGAAGGGUGCAAGCGUUACUCGGAAUUACUGGGCGUAAAGCGUGCGUAGGUGGUGGUUUAAGUCCGUUGUGAAAGCCCUGGGCUCAACCUGGGAAUUGCAGUGGAUACUGGGUCACUAGAGUGUGGUAGAGGAUAGUGGAAUUUCCGGUGUAGCAGUGAAAUGCGUAGAGAUCGGAAGGAACAUCUGUGGCGAAGGCGACUAUCUGGGCCAACACUGACACUGAGGCACGAAAGCGUGGGGAGCAAACAGGAUUAGAUACCCCGGUAGUCCCUGUCUCUUAUAA
rnacentral:rRNA from 1 species